UAAUAAAUAAAAUAAUCUCCAAAUCCAAUUGGUUUUAACAGAAAGGGAAAUACAUCAAUACAAUAUACAUCCGCUGUCUCUGUAGAGUUAAAGAUUGGAUCCUCAACCCAUGAUGAUAUUGAAUCCUGCUACAGUGGUGGUUCCUCGGGGGCCUCCUCUGAGGAGGGCAUUCACAGUUACAAACAUCAGCAGUACAGAGCAGCUACGAACUCAACUCGACCAACUUCACUCAGAAGCAGAGAAAACUAUAUUCAAAGCAAAUAAUGCAAGAUUGAGGCUUAUGAGAUUGUCAGAGGCAGCGGAGAAGCUUAAACAACGAGCAGCAAUGGAUAUUCGGCUUGGGAAGGAAAAUGAAGCAAGGGAGCUGCUUGUUCAAAAGAAGAAAUUAAUGCAAGCUUUAGAGAAGUCAAAGAGCCGCAUCGAGUUGCUUGAUAAACUUUCAGCCAAGCUUAAUGAGGCAAUUUCUGUAAAAGAAACACAGCUAGUUUCGAAUGUUGCUUUGGAUUUGGAAGUUGGAAGAGCAGAUGCUUCUGGUCCAAUUCGGAUCAUCCCUCCAAAGGAGGAGAUGGAAUUUGAUCCAAAUAAAAAUGAAGACUUUAACCCGGACACCAUGGACCUUGAUGAGGAUCAGCCAGAGCAGUUUGAGACAGAAUUUCAAGCAAACCUUUCCAUUAACCAACAGCAAGAGGAUAUUGAAGAAGGGACUGUGAGCAUGAGAAUUUGGAAUGAAGAGAAUAUAAAUAGAAGCUUCAAGGAUAUAUCCUCUUAUGAAGAUUUCCUAGAACAUGUGGAUCAACAGCUUAACAAAAUUGAAGUAGAAGUUGCUACUGUAUUACGUCUCUGGACCUUGGUACUUGAUAGUGAAGAACAGUCAAAAAACUCAAAUGUGCAGCAUACAUUUGAAAUCCUUGAGAAUGUACGAGGCAUCAGAGAAAGGAUUUCAAGUUUCAAGCAGGCAAAAGCAGAGAUCAGGUAGAACCCUAAGUAUUAUUCUCUUCUUACAAGGAAGGCAAGAUAGAGCUCUGCUAUGAAUGCCAUCUUUAUGGUGAAGCUGAAAAUAUUUGAAGUUUUUCCGCACCGAGCUUCUGUGAGUUUGCUGCAAACCAACGAAGAAGAUUCAAAGUAUUUUUCUUGAAAGCUUUAAGGGAUACUUCAACUUUUCUUUUUCUAUUUUUUGGAUGAUAAUUAACCCCAAUUUUUUUUGAAUCAACUGGCAAUGUACAUAGAGAGAACCAGGAAGCCCUUAGGCCACCCACAGCUACAGCUCACUGAAAUAUUAAUGUUCAAAUAGCCAAAAGUUUAAGUAUCAAAGUAAUGUUAAUUUGGUCAAGCUACAAUAAUAUGAAUUGGGGCCUCCUUUGAUGUUCUAUACCCAUUUAUGAUAUCCAAUAAAAUAGAAAUUGUUGAUGCA